CAAACAACUUGAAUAGGUAUUUAUCCAAAGAAGAUACACACAUGGCCAGUAAGCAUAUGAAAAGACGUUCAACAUCCUUAUUCAUUAGGGAAAUACAAACCAACACCAAAAUCACAAUGAAAUGCUACUUCUACCCACUAUGAUGGCUACAUUAAAAAAAAAGAAGAAGACAAUAACAAGCAUUGGUGAGUAUGCGGAGAAACUGAAACACUCAUACAUUGCUGUGGUAAGGUAGAAUGGUGUGGCUACCAUGUAAACAGUUUGGUAGUUCCUCAAAAACUUAAACAUAAGAUUGCCGUAUGACCAGCAAUUCCAUUCAAAGUAUAUAACCAAGAGAACUGAAACCUUAUCUGCAAAAAAGCCUGUGUAUGAUUGUUCACAGCAGCAUUUUCAUAAUAGUCAAAAAGUUAGAAUUGACGCAAAUGUUCAUCAGCUAUGAAUGGAGAAACAAAAUUUGGUAUAUACAUAUGUUAUGGACUGAAUUGUGUCCUCCUCAAAAUUUAUAUGUUGAAGACCUAAUCCCCAGUGUGAAUGUUUGGAGGUGGGGCUUUUAGGAAGGUAAUUAAGGUUAAAUGAAGUCAUAAGCAUGGGGACCUAAUCUUAUAGAGUUGGUAUCCUUAUAAGAAGAGGAAGAGACCAAAGCCCCCUUUCUGUGCAUGCACGGAAAAGUGGUAAUGCAAGGACACAGCUGCCUACAAGCCAGAUAGCACCUUGAUCUUGAACUUCUGACCUCCAGAACUUUAAGAAAAUAAAUUUCUGUUAUUUAAGCCAUUCAGUCUGUGGUAUAUUGUUAUAGCAGGAUAAGUAACUAAUGUACUAUGCAAUGUAAUAUUAUUAGUUCAUAAACUAAAAUUAAGUAAUCAUGCAUGUUACAACAUGGAUAAACCUUGAAAAUAUUAUGCUAAGGGUAAGAAGCCAAACACAAAAAGCCACAUAUUGUAUGAUUUUAUUCAGUUGAAAUGUCCAGAACAGGCAUAUCCAUAGAGACACAAAGUAGUUUAGUGGUUGCCAAGGGAUAUAGGGAGAAAGGAAUUGGGAGGUAUGUGGUGUCUCUUUGCAGUGAUAGAAAUUUUCUGAAAUUAGAUAGUGGUGCUGACUGCACAACAUUGUGAAUAUACUAAAAACCAAUUAAUUGUGUACUGUAAAAUGGUUAAAAAUGUCUCUUAUGCACAGCUGACG